AAUGAAAUAUAAAUAUGAACUUGAACUGGAGGAAUUAAAUAUAAAUAUGAACUUGAACUGGGGGAAUGAAAUAUAAAUAAAGGGAGAUAAUUUGAAUGGUAUAUUUUACAGUUUCUAUGGAAACUAUGCCAAAGUAAGUUUAUCUCAUUUAAACCUGUUUCUGAAUAAACAAUUCAUGUAAUUAUUACUAAACUAUAUAAAACAUUUAACCAAAAGCUAUGUACAAUGUGCCAGAUAAAUAUAACUGACAAACACAAAUAAAACAUGAAUGCAAGAGCACC
rnacentral:lncRNA from 1 species